rnacentral:misc_RNA from 1 species
UCAAUAAUAAUAAUAAUAAUAAUGCACUUACAUUUUCUGGUUGUGAAUCAAUGGGGACAUGCAGUGGUGAAGUUAAGGAUGCAAUGACGACAGAAACAACCUAUGAGAGUGAGAUGACAUUUGGGUACCAGGAUGCCUCCGAUCAGUAUGCGCAAUAUUUCACGGAUGGAUUCUCCAAUUUUUUUAUUGGCGAUUCACAUGUGGUAUCUGCUUGCAGUGGAGAUUCGCAUGAAGGCAAGGUUUUUGAAGAAGAUACGUACUCUUGGAAUAAUGGCCAUCUUUUUGAGAAUUAUCAACCGCUGGAUUCUCAUAUCUUUUGAGUUUAUGUAAUUCUAUAAAAAUUAAUAUAUAAAAUCUUAAUUAUUCGGGAACAAUGUGUCUUCAAUAUAUUAAUACUCAUGGCUAAAAUAACAAUUAAUACAAGUUAUUGAUACCUCUCAGUCAAAGGAGGAAUGUCAUUUUCAUGUCAGGAGAACGCAAUAGG